GACGAACGCUGGCGGCGUGCUUAACACAUGCAAGUCGAACGGUGAAGCGCCUUCCUUUUUGGUGGGUGUGGAUGAGUGGCGAACGGGUGAGUAACACGUGAGUAACCUGCCCCCUUCUUCUGGAUAACCGCAUGAAAGUGUGGCUAAUACGGGAUAUUCUGGGUCUGUCGCAUGAUGGGUCUGGGAAAGAUAUUGUUUCGGUGGGGGAUGGGCUCGCGGCCUAUCAGCUUGUUGGUGGGGUGAUGGCCUACCAAGGCGGUGACGGGUAGCCGGCCUGAGAGGGUGGACGGUCACACUGGGACUGAGACGCGGCCCAGACUCCUACGGGAGGCAGCAGUGGGGAAUAUUGCACAAUGGGCGCAAGCCUGAUGCAGCGCCGCCGCGUGAGGGAUGGAGGCCUUCGGGUUGUGAACCUCUUUCGCCAGUGAAGCAGGCCUGCCUCGUUUGUGGGUGGGUUGACGGUAGCUGGAUAAGAAGCGCCGGCUAACUACGUG
rnacentral:rRNA from 1 species